rnacentral:rRNA from 1 species
AGUAGCGGCGAGCGAAGCGGGAAGAGCUCAAAUUUAUAAUCUGGCACCUUCGGUGUCCGAGUUGUAAUCUCUAGAAGUGUUUUCCGCGUUGGACCGCACACAAGUCUGUUGGAAUACAGCGGCAUAGUGGUGAAACCCCCGUAUAUGGUGCGGACGCCCAGCGCUUUGUGAUACACUUUCAAUGAGUCGAGUUGUUUGGGAAUGCAGCUCAAAUUGGGUGGUAAAUUCCAUCUAAAGCUAAAUAUUGGCGAGAGACCGAUAGCGAACAAGUACCGUGAGGGAAAGAUGAAAAGCACUUUGGAAAGAGAGUUAACAGUACGUGAAAUUGUUGGAAGGGAAACGCUUGAAGUCAGACUUGCUUGCCGGAGCUUGCUUCGGUUUGCAGGCCAGCAUCAGUUUUCCGGGGUGGAUAAUGACGGUUUGAAGGUAGCAGUCUCGGCUGUGUUAUAGCUUUCCGUUGGAUACGCCCUGGGGGACUGAGGAACGCAGCGUGCUUUUUGCGAAAGACUCGUCUUUUUCACGCUUAGGAUGCUGGUGGAAUGGCUUUAAACGACCCGUC